rnacentral:rRNA from 1 species
GUGCACCAGUCGCGAAACCUCCGCAAUACACGAAAGUGUGACGGGGCCAUCCCGAGUGCCGUCCGCUGAGGACGGCUUUUCCCCAGUGUACACAGCUGGGGGAAUAAGGAGAGGGCAAGCCUGGUGUCAGCCGCCGCGGUAAUACCAGCUCUCCGAGUGGUGGGGACGCUUAUUGGGCCUAAAGCAUCCGUAGCCGGCUGGGCAAGUCCUCCGUUAAAUCCAACGAUUCAAUCGUUGGGCUGCGGGGGAUACUGUCCAGCUUGGGGGCGGGAGAGGCCGACGGUAUUCCCGGGGUAGGGGUGAAAUCCUAUAAUCCCGGGAGGACCACCAGUGGCGAAGGCUGUCGGCUAGAACGCGCCCGACGGUGAGGGAUGAAAGCGUGGGGGAGCGAACCGGAUUAGA